CAGAAAGAGAAAUUUGAUAAAUGUUUCGACUCUCACUAGAAAGAUAAAGAAAAAGAAAAGAAAAGAAAAUCUGAACAAAUGUGAGAAGAAAAAUGUAAAAAGCAAAAGCGUUACUUGCCAGUCGAUCAUUUCUGUUUAAUUAUUUUAAAAAAAUUAAUUCGGAUAUGACGUCACUAAAUGAAGCCGACUUUUAUUACCAGAGGGCGCCUUUCCACCAUGACAUAGUCAAUGCUUCGAAAGAGGAAGCCAUGAUAUUCUUCCAGCCAUCGAUUGGCAGAUACAAAUUAUCAUUCCGUCAUUUACAACACGAUAUAACUUAUACAUGCAUUUCCUAUUUAUAUCAGAAGCUUUGUCGCUAUUUUAAAGUCUUAUAUUGAAGUCAGUUUAACACAAAUAAAAAUUUACUAAAGCCAAAAUACUGUAAAAACAUGUGCCG
rnacentral:lncRNA from 1 species